UGAUGUCCCAGAAAAAUAUUAGACGAUCCGGGUUCGGAGGCCCGGGCCCACGGCGGAAGGCAUGGGCUAUAGGAAUAGAGCUGAAUUCUAGUUUUAUGGCCGUAAAAUGCCAAAAAAUAUAAUUUGGUCAUGGCGGGGCGGUGUCUAUGAUUUCUUAGGUCGUCUUAGAUAAUUAUUAGGCGAUCCGGGUCAGGGGCGCGGGCCCACGGCGGAAGCGCAGGCUCACUACGGAAGGCGCGAGCCCACGAUGGAAGGCGUGGGCUAUAGCACACGAAAUAUAUGGGAAUCGAGUGGGGCAGAAUUCCAGUUUUAUGGCCAUGAAGUGACAAACAAAGUAAUUUGGUCAUGGCGGGGCGGUGACUAUGGUUCCUUAGGUGAUCCGGGUCCGUGGCCCAGGCCCACGCGAAAUUCUAGUUUUAUGGCCGUAAUAUGCCAAAAGAUGUAAUUUGGUCAUGGAGGGACGGUGACUAUGGUUCUUUAGGUCAUAUUUUAUAAAUAAUAGGUGAUCCGGGUCCGGUGGCGCAGGCCCACGGUGAAAGACUUGUGCUAUAGCACACGAAAAUAUGGUAAUCGGGCGGGGCAGAAUUCUAGUUUAAUGGCUGUAAAGUGCCAAACAAUGUAAUUUGGUCAUGGCGGGGCGAUGACUAUAGUUUCUUAGUUGUAUUUGAUGUCCCGACAAAAAUAUUAAGUGAUCCGGGUCCGUGGGACCGGGCCCACGGCGGAAGGCGUGGGCUAUAGCACACGAAAAUAUAAUAAUUAGGCGGAAUUAAAGUUUUAUGGCCGUAAAAUGCUAAAAUAUGUAAUUUGGUCAUGGCGGGGUGGUGACUAUGGUUCCUUAGGGCGUAUUUGAUGUCUAUGAAAAAUAUUAGGUGAUCCGAGUCCGGGGCACGGUGGAAGCCGUGGACUAUAUAACACACAAAAAUAUGGAAAUCGAUCAGAAUUCCAGUUUUAAGGUCGUAAAACACCAAAAAAAUGUAAAUUGGUCAUGGAGGGGCGGUGGCUAUGGUUCCUUAGAUCAUAUUUGAUAAUUAUUAGGCGAUCCGAGGGUGCGAGCCCAUGGCGGAAGGCGUGGGCAUAGCACACGAAAAUAAGGGAAUCAGGCGGGGUGGAAUUCCAGUUUUAUGGUCUUAAAAUGCCAAAAAUAUAAUUUGGUCAUGGCGGUGCAGUGGCUAUGGUUCCUUAGGUCGUAUUUGAUGUCCCUAAAAAAUAUUAGGCUAUACGGGUCCGGGGACCCGGGCCCACGACGGAAGGCGUGGCACACGAAAAUAUGGGAAUCGGGUGGAAUUCCAGUUUUAUGUUCGUAAAAUGCCAAAAAAUAUAAUUUGGUCAUGGAGGGGCAGUUUCUAUGGUUUCUUAGGUCGUGUAUGAUAAAUAUUAGGUGAUCCGGGUCCGGGGGCCUGGGCCCACGGCAGAAGGUGUGGGCUAUAGCACACGAAAAUAUGGGAAUGAGGUGGAAUUCUAGUUUUACGGCCGUAAAAUGCCAAAUAUAUAAUUUGUUCAUGGCAGGGCGGUGACUAUAGUGACUUAGGUCGUAUUUGAUGUCCCAAAAAAUAUUAGGCGAUCCAGAUCCGGGUUCCGUCGUGGGCUAUAUAACACACCAAAAUAUGGGAAUCAGGCGGAAUUCAAGUUUUAUUGUCGUACAAAGCCAAAAAAUAAAAUUUGGUCAUGGUGGGGCGAUGACUAUGGUUCCUUAGGUCGUAUUUGAUGUCCCGAAAAAAUAUUUGGAUAUCCGGGUUCAGGGCCCAGGCCCACGACGGAAAGCGUGAGCUAUAUAGCACACGAAAAUAUGGGAAUCGGGGGGAAUUCAAGUUUUAUGGCCGUAAAACGACAAAGAGUGUAAUUUGGUCAUGGAGGUGCGGUGAUUAUGGUUCCUUAGGUCGUAUUUGAUAAUUAUUAGGCGAUCCGGGUCUGGGGGCGCGGGCCCACGGUGGAAGGAGUGGGCUAUAGCACACGAAAAUAUGGGUAUUAGGCGAAAUUCCAGUUUUUUUACCGUAAAACGCCAAAAGUGUAAUUUCUUCAUUGCAGGGCGGUGACUAUAGUUCCUUAGGUCAUAUUUGAUGUUCCGGAAAAAAUAUUAGGUGAUACGGGUCUGGGGGCCCGGGCCCGCGGCGGAAGGCGUGGGCUAUAGCACACGAAAAUAUGGGAAUUGAGUGAAAUUCUAGUUUCAUGACCGUAAAAUGCUAAAGAAUGUAAUUGGUCUUGGUGGGGCGAUGAUUAUGGUUUCUUAGGUCGUAUUUGAUGUCCCGGAAAAUAUUAGCCAAUCCGGGUCUGGGGGACCGGCCCCACGGUGGAAGGCGUGGGCUAUAGCACACGAAAAUAUGGGAAUCGGACGGAAUUCCAGUUUUAUGGCUGUAAAUUAGAAAAAAAUUAUAAUUUGGUCAUGGUAGGGCGGUGACUAUGGUUCCUUAGGGCGUAUUUGAUGUCCAGGAAAAAUAUUAGGCGAUCCGAGGCCGGGGCACGGGACCACGGCGGAAGCCGUGGACUAUAUAGCACACGAAAAUAUGGAAAUCGGGCGGAAUUCCUGUUCUAAGGCUGUAAAACACCAAAAAAUGUAAAUUGGUCAUGGAGGGG
rnacentral:lncRNA from 1 species